GUGUUUGGCGUAUAUUGGACUACGAAAUAUAUGUUAUCAUCAAAAGAAGAAACAGAGGUACCGACUACAGUAAAGGGCGAAGAAAUACCCACUCCUAAGGGCGAUGAGAAACUGCCACCAAAAUCUGAAUCAUCUAGUGACGAAGAUGAAAAAUCGACAAAUAUGGAAAGUGGUAACCGUCGCCUAUAGACAUGAGCAGUACCAUGGACAUAACAGAGUAUACUGUUUCGCCCAUGAUACUCCCCAUGCGUUGCCAUUCCUGAGGACUUAGGUGUUAUUUCUCUGUAACCAGUAAAUUCACGCCAUAUUCCACCCUUCAAACCGAAACACAGCCAUGCAAACACAACUGCUUCACGGUUGAAAUACGAAUGGGACAGAGGUACCCAAGCAUUCGACUUUUCUCCCUCUGGUACUGAACUGCAUUUUCAUUCUCAGCUAUCAUCCCUCACAGGUGCCCCGCCAUAUAUAUACCGAUAGCGUAGGCAGGGUUACUAUUACGUUAUCACCCAUUCAAAAAAACACCUAAUUGAUUCCCCGCCAAUGUAAACUAAUAGGGCUCAGUGAUGUACCAUUUCAAUAUUAACCAUUCAAAAUAGAUAUACAACUGAGAUGAGACAAUAGUAUAAACAACAACAAUAAAUACCAUUUAGUUGAUUGAUAAACUUGCAUAAUCACACAAUGCAUGUUUAUUAACUGUCAGUCACCAUUAAGGAGAGUUCUAGAUCAUUCGUGAGAGUGAUUUAAACAAUGCCUGGUGGACUUGGCCUAGCAUUAGUAUUGGGUGCAUUCGCAUUUUCUGUAUUUUGGACGACCAAGUUUAUACAGAAAGUUUACUACACUACCGAUAAUAAAACUUCGAAAUUCAAUGAAGGCAAAAUAUUAUUUACAUUACCUGUAGAAUAUGUUGAGUAUAAAGACUGAUGCUUUGUCUACACGAUUCUAUAUAAUGGUACUCUUGACUGGAACAAUAUUAUUUACCCAAUAUAUGGUAACACAAGAUAAAAAAUUAUUAAGUAAUGUAAGGUUCCUAUUAACUGAUGAUUAUUAUGCAGAACCGUUCCAAAUUAGUGAUGGAAGGUUUACAAACAACAAUAAAAGUAUAAUGCUUUGAAUGUUGCUCGAGAUUUUUUUAUCUUUAAAGAUUAUUUUAUAACUAAAUUAGUAAAGUUACAAAACUUUUAAGAUAAUUAAGGAUGUUCAAAUAAAAUAAAACAAAGUUAUAAAUAUUGACAUAUCAUUUAAUUUUAUUAAAAUGUUCUUACAAAUUUCGUCAUUACUUUAAAUACAUAUAUUUACAGACGCAAGUGUAAUAUUAUGUAUAUAUUACUAGGCAUUAUUAUAAGAUAUGUAUAAAAUAAAUAAAAACAAUCUUUAUAAUAAUAUAAAACAUAUUAAAUAUCUUUUUUAAUUUAUACUGUACAUUAUUAUUUACUAAUUGUUCAACAAAAAAUUACAUCAUAAUAUAAAAUAAAAUUCAAUAAAAACAAUAAAUAUAUUAGUUUCAGAUACAUUAGAAAUUGCGUCUGUGUAGUUGCAUUAAAUAUGAUUGUUAACAAUAUAUUUUGACU